GACGAACGCUGGCGGCGUGCUUAACACAUGCCAGUCGAGCGGUAAGGCCUCUUCGGGGGUACACGAGCGGCGAACGGGUGAGUAACACGUGGGUGACCUGCCCUCAGCUCUGGGAUAAGCCUGGGAAACUGGGUCUAAUACCGGAUAUGACCUUUCCUCGCAUGGGGUUUGGUGGAAAGUUUUUUCGGCUGGGGAUGGGCCCGCGGCCUAUCAGCUUGUUGGUGGGGUGAUGGCCUACCAAGGCGACGACGGGUAGCCGGCCUGAGAGGGCGACCGGCCACACUGGGACUGAGACACGGCCCAGACUCCUACGGGAGGCAGCAGUGGGGAAUAUUGCGCAAUGGGCGGAAGCCUGACGCAGCGACGCCGCGUGGGGGAUGACGGCCCUCGGGUUGUAAACCUCUUUCGACCCCGACGAAUUUGGACGGUAGGGGUAGAAGAAGCACCGGCCAACUACGUG
rnacentral:rRNA from 1 species